AUUGAACGCUGGCGGCAGGCCUAACACAUGCAAGUCGAGCGGAUGAAGGGAGCUUGCUCCUGGAUUCAGCGGCGGACGGGUGAGUAAUGCCUAGGAAUCUGCCUGGUAGUGGGGGAUAACGUCCGGAAACGGGCGCUAAUACCGCAUACGUCCUGAGGGAGAAAGUGGGGGAUCUUCGGACCUCACGCUAUCAGAUGAGCCUAGGUCGGAUUAGCUAGUUGGUGGGGUAAAGGCCUACCGAGGCGACGAUCCGUAACUGGUCUGAGAGGAUGAUCAGUCACACUGGAACUGAGACACGGUCCAGACUCCUACGGGAGGCAGCAGUGGGGAAUAUUGGACAAUGGGCGAAAGCCUGAUCCAGCCAUGCCGCGUGUGUGAAGAAGGUCUUCGGAUUGUAAAGCACUUUAAGUUGGGAGGAAGGGCAGUAAGUUAAUACCUUGCUGUUUUGACGUUACCAACAGAAUACGCACCGGCUAACUUCGUG
rnacentral:rRNA from 1 species